AUACUUACCAGGCACGGAAGGUGUCAUGACCACAAAGGUGGUUUCUCAAGGUGAGGCUUCUCCAUUGUACUUGGGACAUUCUGGCUCCUGUGAUUUCCCCAAAUGCAGGAAGCUCAACUUCAUAAUGCGUGGAAGUGGGGUACUAUGCUCAUAUUUUCCCCUA
ensembl:snRNA U1 U1 spliceosomal RNA